UCAGGGUUAAGCAGAUUUCACUGAGAGAUAGGGCCAGUUAUGAUCCUCUGAGCUGUCCAAGAAAGUCAGGUGGAUGGACCAAUGGGUGCACCUUCUCCACAGGGCUUCCUCCUUGCACAGCUCUGUCAUUCCAAGAGUGUGCUAGCAUUUUAAGUCUGGUUGUUGCUUGCUGUUGGAUACCAUCUAAUCGCACUCUUGGAUAGUGUUGGCUGUCAAACUAACUUUCUGAAAAAUCCCAGAGCAGGUGACAGCUGCACACUAAAGGAUUUUUAGGAUAGACAAGGUAAGCAAUUUGUACUUCAUUAACUGUCUAUACAGACAAGAGGUAACCAUGUAGUACACUGAAUCAGCUAUUGGCUGGUGGCCUGCAAUUGAUUGUCAUUUUAUUUUUUAAAAUUCUCCACUCAUAACAUAUGUAAACUCUUGGAAAGUAUUAACUAAAUCUCACAUAGAUGAACUGUGUAUGUUUCAACUAUGUAGAUUCACCACAAUCUAUUCCCCAAUGUCUUCAUACUUCCUAAAACAACGCAAUUCUUCCCAUAAGUGUUGAGAUGGAUUAUCAGAUCCAAUGCUCAUGAAUCUACUUUGCCAAGAUAUUACCCUCUUAAUCAUUUUUUAACACAUAAAGAAAUCCCCGUGUUGAACAUUAGUAGUAAAAAAUACCAGUCUUAUAAGCCAAAUGCAAUAUAUCAUAACUUUUCUGUAUGCAUUUGCUAGGAUUCAAGGGAUUCAAUUUUAGCUGUUAUAUUUCAAGAUACUGGCUAUAGCUAAUAGAAUUAUGCAUUAGGUUCUAGAAUUGUUCCUUUAUGUGAAUAGAAUCAGUGAACCAUUCUAAAAUUCAAAAGUUACACAGAUUUUUAGAAACUAGCCGCAUUGAAAAAAAAAAAAAAAAGAAACUAGCCGCAUUGACAAUAUACUCUUGGGAUUGAGAUUUAAAAAUUGCUUCAGGGAUCCCUGGGUGGCGCAGCGGUUUGGCGCCUGCCUUUGGCCGAGGGCGCGAUCCUGGAGACUCGGGAUCGAAUCCCACGUCAGGCUCCCUGCAUGGAGCCUGCUUCUCCCUCUGCCUGUGUCUCUGCCUCUCUCUUUCUCUCUCUGUGACUAUCAUGAAUAAAUAAAUAAAAUCUUAAAAAAAAAAAAAAAAAAAAAAAAA
rnacentral:lncRNA from 12 species